ACUGAUUUUGGUCCUUUGUCUGUGAUUGGCUGGCCCAUUACUGGCAGGACUUUUAUGUUGAUAAAUGUAGUUUUUGGACGUGACGUGGGUCUCCUUCCGCCCCGCUGUUUUGCCGGCAGAGGACGCCGGCUGGCGUGUGAGCUGCUGCUAGCUGUGAUCAUUAUCCGGUAGAUUUGGUACCUUCAGGUAGGCAUUUAAUAUUCAUACUUUAUGAUGUGUCCGAUCGCCGUAUUGUCUGAAUUACGGACCUGAUUAUGUGACUGCAUUCCACUUCUAGCCAUUCUUGUGUGGAACUGCACUCUGCUGUGAACUGGCGUUCACUUCGCGCUGCCUAUACUGCACCGGUGUGUUGCCCCAUCAUCUGUGCCCUGUGGCAGGCCUGAUUCGUGGUGCUUACGCUGGCUUGGAGUGGCCACAGUGGUUGGCCCCUGGGUACCUGACUGCAGUCAGUGGAUGUGUGUGGUCCAAAUUGCGAUUGUUCCGAACCACGGAUCUAUGAUCAGGUUAGCGGUGCCUCUCUGACGCUGGGGAUUGCUAGCUACACUCCUCGGAGGUUGCUGUUUUGUUGCCGUCACACUCUGCGCCGGUUCCGACUGGCUCCACCUGCUCGUCCUGCUUUUGUUUGGUUUAAUUAUUUUUAUUUUCUGGUCCGUUUCUUGGGACGCCAGCCUCCUCGCUGCGCACUGCGCAGGUCUAGUUACCUGUGUGUGUUGUGAGUGCGUGUGUGUCUGUGUGUCUGUAUGCGUGUGUGAUUGUCAUCUAGGCACGGCACCGGAGGCAAGUGUACACCCCCUUCAGUCAACCUACAGCGGUGUAGUUCUCCCCUCUCUCUUGCUAUACAAAAGUUAAGUUGCAUCUAGUCAUCACUGUGUAUGCAAAUUGUGUUAUACAUUAGUACGUGUCAUUCUCGCCAUUGAGUGUCUCUCUCUUCUCUCCUCCCUGGAUAGGUAUGGAGUUGCCAUAGCGCGCCGGUCUUCGGGUGGUGGAUUCCCUCACUUUUCCAUUGCUGUGUGCACUUGGGUGACUAUUACUAUUUUGCUGUGCUAAGUAGCAGUAGUAGAUGUGUGUUUUCUUUUUAUUUUGUGUGAGUACUUUAUUGUGUGUGUUUAUUUUGUGUGGCCUUUUCCCCUAGUCUUUAACUAUCCCUUUCAACCGUGCUGCUACUGGUUAGCCUAAGCCUAGCUUUUCCCCCCCCUUUAAGAGUGACACCAUUGCCCCGUCUCCCCCGUAUUGGGGCGGUUCGUACGAGUGAGUGUAGCCUCCCUUCCUCUCUCGAACAGGUGCCGUGCGUGUGUAUGCGUGGUGUAUGUUUGCGUGUGGCCAUUGGCCAUAUUGCUCCACAUAACGGCCCGCUAGUGGGCGUCUAAUAGGGAUCAGUGCAAUAUUGUCUGUAAUACAAUUCAUCCAUAUUGUAUUUUUGUAAUGUAUGAGUAUUUGUCCCUUGCAUCACCACUGCAUAUUUGCACACCUGUAUGACAAAUUCACAUCUGUAUGACUAUUGUAUUUGUGAAAAGAGAAUAAACUCCUGCCUAAGAGUGCUCCGAA